rnacentral:rRNA from 1 species
UCCUGCCAGUAGUCAUAUGCUUGUCUCAAAGAUUAAUCCAUGCAUGUGUAAGUAUAAGUAUUGUACAGCGAAACUGCGAAUGGCUCAUUACAUCAGUUAUUAUUUAUUUGAUAAUCGAAAGUUACAUGGAUAACCGUGACAAAUUACAGCUAUAUUGGACUACCAUGGCAGUCACGGGUAACGGAGAAUUAGGGUUCGAUUCCGGAGAGGGAGCCUGAGAAACGGCUACCACAUCUACGGAAGGCAGCAGGAGCGAAAAUUGCCCAAUCCUGACACAGGGAGGCAGUGACAAGAAAUAUCAACUCUUGGAUUUCCAAGAAGUGAAAUGAGGAUAAUUUACAACCCUUACCGAAAGCAAUUGGAGGGCAAGUCUGGUGCCAGCAGCCGCGGUAAUUCCAGCUCCAAUAGCGUAUAUUAAAGUUGUUGCAGUUAAAAAGCUCGUAGUUGAAACUCUGGCUGUUCGAUCCUCGAGCUCUGUAGCCGAGGACUCGACAGUCAUCCGCUUGCAAAUAUGUGUUCGUCUUUAAUCGGAUGACCAUAUGAGCAAGCAAUUUACCUUGAGAAAAACAGAGUGUUCCAGGCAGGUUUGUCCGGAAUGCAUUAGCAUGGAAUAAUAGAAUAUGACUGAAGUCGAUUUAUUGGUUUGAGGAUGCGAAAGCAUUUGCCAAGGAUGUUUUCAUUAAUCAAGAACGAAAGUUAGGGGAUCAAAGACGAUCAGAUACCGUCCUAGUCUUAACUAUAAACUAUACCGACUCGGAUUCGGAUGAAUCAAAAAGUUCAUUCGGGACCGUAGGAGAAAUCAAAGUUUUUGGGUUCUGGGGGAAGUAUGGUCGCAAGGCUGAAACUUAAAGGAAUUGACGGUUUUGCACCACCAUGGAGUGGAGUCUGCGGCUUAAUUUGACUCAACACUGGGAAACUCAUCAGGGCAAGAAGAUUUUAGGAUUGACAGAUUGAGAGUUCUUUCUUGAUUGGUCUAGUGGUGGUGCAUGGCCGUUCUUAGUUGGUGGAGUGAUUUGUCUGGUUAAUUCCGUUAACGAACGAGACCUUAACCUGCUAACUAGUAUCGCUAUCCCAAAUGGCGACUACUUCUUAGAGGGACUAUGUGUUGUAAACACAUGGAAGUUUGAGGCAAUAACAGGUCUGUGAUGCCCUUAGAUGUCCUGAGCUGCAC